rnacentral:rRNA from 1 species
AGAGUUUGAUCCUGGCUCAGGAUGAACGCUGGCGGCGUGCCUAACACAUGCAAGUCGAGCGAGAUUAAUGCAAGUGGAGACUUCGGUCAAAGCGACCAUUAUGAAAGCGGCGGACGGGUGAGUAACGCGUGAGCAAUCUGCCCCAUACAAAGGGAUACCCACUGGAAACGGUGAUUAAUACCUUAUAAGACCACAGAGUCGCAUGACUUAGAGGUCAAAGAUUUAUCGGUAUGGGAUGAGCUCGCGUCUGAUUAGCUAGUUGGUGAGGUAAUGGCUCACCAAGGCGACGAUCAGUAGCCGACCUGAGAGGGUGACCGGCCACACUGGAACUGAGACACGGUCCAGACUCCUACGGGAGGCAGCAGUGGGGAAUCUUCCGCAAUGGGCGAGUGAGCGAAGAAGGUCUUCGGAUUGUAAAGCUCUGUGAUAUUGGACGAACAAUUUCCCGUAAAUAAUGGGAAGGAAUGACGGUACAAUAAGAGGAAGCCACGGCUAACUACGUGCCAGCAGCCGCGGUAAUACGUAGGUGGCAAGCGUUGUCCGGAAUUACUGGGCGUAAAGGGUGCGUAGGCGGUAAUGUAAGUCAGGUGUGAAAGCCCGAAGCUCACUUCGGGAUUGCACUUGAAACUACAUAACUAGAGUACAGGAGAGGUGAGUGGAAUUCCUAGUGUAGCGGUGAAAUGCGUAGAUAUUAGGAGGAACACCAGUGGCGAAGGCGACUCACUGGACUGUAACUGACACUGAGGCGCGAAAGCGUGGGGAUCAAACAGGAUUAGAUACCCUGGUAGUCCACGCCGUAAACGAUGAGUGCUAGGUGUCGGCUCUUAAAGGGUCGGGCCGCAGUUAACGCAUUAAGUGCUCCGCCUGGGGAGUACGCACGCAAGUGUGAAACUCAAAGGAAUUGACGGGGACCCGCACAAGCAGCGGAGCAUGUGGUUUAAUUCGAAGCAACGCGAAGAACCUUACCAGGUCUUGACAUCCCUCUGACCGGUCCGUAAAACGGGUCCUUCCCUUCGGGGCAGAGAUGACAGGUGGUGCAUGGUUGUCGUCAGCUCGUGUCGUGAGAUGUUGGGUUAAGUCCCGCAACGAGCGCAACCCUUGUGUUUAGUUGCCAACAGGUUAAGCUGUGCACUCUAAACAGACUGCCGUGGAUAACACGGAGGAAGGUGGGGAUGACGUCAAAUCAUCAUGCCCCUUAUGAUCUGGGCUACACACGUGCUACAAUGGUCGGUACAACGGGCAGCGAAAGAGCGAUCUGGAGCAAAUCUCCAAAGCCGAUCCCAGUUCGGAUUGUAGGCUGCAACUCGCCUACAUGAAGUUGGAGUUGCUAGUAAUCGCGAAUCAGAAUGUCGCGGUGAAUGCGUUCCCGGGUCUUGUACACACCGCCCGUCACACCAUGGAAGUUGGGGGCGCCCGAAGCCAGUGGUCCAACCCGUAAGGGAGGAAGCUGUCGAAGGUGAAACCAAUGACUGGGGUGAAGUCGUAACAAGGUAACC